AGUGAACGCUGGCGGUAGGCCUAACACAUGCAAGUCGAACGGCAGCACAGUAAGAGCUUGCUCUUACGGGUGGCGAGUGGCGGACGGGUGAGGAAUACAUCGGACUCUACUUUUUCGUGGGGGAUAACGUAGGGAAACUUACGCUAAUACCGCAUACGACCUACGGGUGAAAGCAGGGGAUCUUCGGACCUUGCGCGAUUGAAUGAGCCGAUGUCGGAUUAGCUAGUUGGCGGGGUAAAGGCCCACCAAGGCAACGAUCCGUAGCUGGUCUGAGAGGAUGAUCAGCCACACUGGAACUGAGACACGGUCCAGACUCCUACGGGAGGCAGCAGUGGGGAAUAUUGGACAAUGGGCGCAAGCCUGAUCCAGCCAUACCGCGUGGGUGAAGAAGGCCUUCGGGUUGUAAAGCCCUUUUGUUGGGAAAGAAAAGCAGCAGGUUAAUACCCCGCUGUUCUGACGGUACCCAAAGAAUAAGCACCGGCUAACUUCGUG
rnacentral:rRNA from 1 species